UCGCGUCUCAAAAUGGCGCGGUGAAUAUGCCCCUGCUCCUUGCACACACCGCCCGUCAAACCAUCUUAGUUGGGGGUGGGUGAGGCUACCUUUUAAUGGGGUAUUCGAGCCUGCCUUCGACAAGGAGGGUUAAGUCGUAACAAGGUAUCUGUAGGGGAACCUGCAGAUGGAUCACCUCCUAAGAAA
rnacentral:rRNA from 1 species